rnacentral:rRNA from 1 species
UACAGAGGGUGCGAGCGUUACUCGGAAUUACUGGGCGUAAAGCGCACGUAGGCGGCGUUGUAAGUCGGGUGUGAAAGCCCCGGGCUCAACCUGGGAAUUGCAUUCGAGACUGCAUUGCUGGAGUACGGAAGAGGAGGGCGGAAUUCCCGGUGUAGCGGUGAAAUGCGUAGAUAUCGGGAGGAACAUCAGUGGCGAAGGCGGCCCUCUGGUCCAGUACUGACACUCAAGUGCGAAAGCGUGGGGAGCAAACAGG